CUCUUCCUGUGUAGAAGAGAUGGAAGAACAUGGCUUAUAUUUUCAUCUGGUGAAGGAGCAUUCAUACUUUUUUUUAAUGUAAGUUGAGAAAAAAAUUCUAAGCCAAAGGUUCAGAAAAUGAAGCUACAGAAUAUUAAAUAUUAUAAUGUGCUCAAAGCUCUGAAAAGUUAAAAAUUAAAUAUUUAUUUUCUUCCCCAAGCUUUAGGUAAGGAGAAGAGGGGUCAAGAGUUAAACUUAGAGCCCUUCUGUCUCUGGGAAGCACCCCUGUAAGACACUGUGUUGGAGCUCCCUCAGUACUACUCCCUACAACUGGGGUGGGUAGAAAAGCCUUACGGAAAUUAUACUGAGAGCCUGAUGUACUUCAUGUUACUCACAUUCCUUCCAGCCUAGGUUUCUGCCAAGUCAGUCCUCUUUGGAGGGAGCCGUUUAGUCUGUAACCGACUGGAUGGUGCAGCAUCAUUUUGAUCUACUGCUUUUCAGAAUAUAAACUUAUAAUAA
rnacentral:lncRNA from 10 species